UGUCACCCUAUUGGGUCUCCCUUGAGGACUGUAUCGUAUCAGAUUCAUCUUUGUGUCCUAUGUUGUAACCAACUUUGCACAUUUCAGGUACUCAAUCAAUAUGUCUGGGAAGGAUAUGUGAAUAAGUGCUUUCUUAUAUUUGGCCAGGUCAGAAGAUGCCAGAAGUAGGAUGUCCAGACCCAACAACUACCCAAAGGCACAACCCAAAUUCAUAUUAUACUUAAAAGUCUACAUCAAAGUAAAAACAUAUGACUUAUGUUUUUAUAUUCCAUAACCAACUGCUAAAAUGAAAAGCAUUACCACAAUACCACCAUGCAUACACAUACACCCCCUAUACUAAGUCUUUGUCAAACUUCUAAUUAUUGUUGAACUUGGAAGACAAAAUUAUGGAUUCUGGUGAUGAGCAAAUAACUAAAGAGAAGGUUCCGGCAUAUCCUGAGGAGAUCAGAAAGGCAACAGAGAGGAAACAGAGCUUCAAGAAGAAGGUGGUGGUAAAAUGCCAAGGGACAUUAGAAAGAAUUUCCUGCCCUUGGAAUUCUGGUAGCAGAGAGACAGAAAAGGAAGCCACUGAAAACCUUGAAAAGUUCAUUCAUGAGAUCAGAGGGGGACAGAAGCUGGACUACAAAAGCAAAAAGAAUAAAUGCAGUUUUGAAGUUCUCAGUCAUCCCUAUUAGGAGCUCACAUGCAGGGACACAGAUCCUGCUCCAAGAAUCUAUUAUCUGGAGAGUCAUUCUAGGCCGCACUACCAUCUCUGGUGAAAGGUGAGUAUAAAUCAAAAAGAGGGCAUUUAAAUAGCCUCAAGUUUUCUUUU
rnacentral:lncRNA from 1 species